rnacentral:rRNA from 1 species
AUGGCAACCGCCGUUCCACCGAUCAUCUCCCCGAAGGAAGAUCUCCCCCCUCCACUGACCUCCGCCUCCGAGCCCCCUCCGCUCUUCGACGGCACCACCAGGCUGUAUCUUGCAUAUCACUGCCCGUACGCGCAGCGCGCUUGGAUUGCCAGGAACUGCAAGGUAGGUUUACAGGACAAGAUCAAGGUAGUCGCCAUAGAUCUGGCAGACAGGCCAGCUUGGUACAAGGAGAAGGUUUACCCGGAGAACAAGGUGCCUGCCCUGGAGCAUAACAACCAGGUGAAAGGAGAGAGCUUGGAUUUGGUCAAGUACAUUGACAGCAAUUUUGAUGGCCCAGCAUUGCUGCCUGAUGAUUCUGCAAAGAAGCAGUUUGCUGAGGAACUGCUUGCGUUCAGCGAUGGGUUUAAUAGUGCAUUUUUCUCAUGCUUACGCUCCAAGGGAGAUGUGUCAGAUGAAGCCGCUGCUGCUGUGGAUAAAAUAGAAGCUGCCUUGGGAAAGUUCAGCGACGGCCCAUUCUUCCUUGGCCAGUUCAGUUUGGUGGACAUUGCAUAUGUGCCAUUCAUCGAAAGGUUUCAAAUAUUCUAUUCUGGUAUCAAGAAGGAUGAUCUCGCCAAGGGCAGGCCCAACCUGCACAAAUUCAUUGAGGAAGUGAACAAGGUGGACGCAUAUACACAGACCAAACUGGACCCACAGUUUCUGCUUGAUCAAAUGAAGGAGAAGUUUGGCAUUGCUUGA